GGUCCCAAGGGUUGGGCUGUUCGCCCAUUAAAGUGGUACGCGAGCUGGGUUCAGAACGUCGUGAGACAGUUCGGUCCCUAUCCGUCGCAGGCGUAGGAAAUUUGAGAAGACCUGUCCUUAGUACGAGCGGACCGGGAUGGACGUACCUCUGGUGUACCAGUUGUCCUGCCAAGGGCAUGGCUGGGUAGCUAUGUACGGAAUGGAUAAGCGCUGAAAGCAUCUAAGCGCGAAG
rnacentral:rRNA from 1 species